rnacentral:lncRNA from 1 species
CCCCUGCCCUCUGCUUUCUUCAAGAUUCUAGAAGAUCAGAUUAGGUGCCUCUGCAUGUGGCUUAGCUAGACCUCCAACAAUUGGCAGUAACAAAGGAAGAGAGAAGGUGACAUAACUGAAAAUAAAAAGAAAAUAUUAAUACAGUCUUAGUGAAGCCUGAUGCCACCCAACACAUCAUCUGUAUGUAUUCCUCUAUCUAACUAGCUAGCUACCUGUCUGGCUAGCUAUCUAGUUAUCUAUCUUUCUAUUGGAUUACAUUGAGUUCCAAAGUAAAGCAAAGAUUUUUUUUUCUUUUAUUCUGCUGUUUUUAAACCAAGAACAUUAAAACGUUUUUAUUCAUUCCAGUACCAUACAUGGACAUACAUGGAGAGAAUACCUAGACAAGAUGAUGAAUUUUGGCUGCAGAUUUGCUUACAUCUAUCUGGUACCAAAAUUGGUCCUAUAUUAUUGUAUGACACUUAUGUAAGAUGUUAACAUUACGGAAAGUAUAUAGGAUCUCUGAAAUUUACUUUGGUGCCUUUUUGGUAAGUCUAAUAUUACUCUAAAAUUAAUAGUUAAAAAAAACCUGGAGUUCCCCUUGUGACUCAGCAGGUUAAGAACUAGACAUAGUGUCUGUGAGGAUGCAGGUUCCAUCCCUGGCCUCACUCAGUGGGUUAAGGAUCUGGCGUUGCCACAAGCUGUGGUGUAGGUCGCAGAUGCAGCUGGAUCUGGUGUUGCUGUGGCUGUGGCACAGGCAUGCAGCUGCAACUCCUACUAAACCCCUAGCCCAGGAAACUUCCAUGUGCCACAGGUGUAGCCAUAAAAAGAAAAGAAACAUAAAACCUGAUACAAAUUACAUUCACUCAGGCUAAUGUGGAGUAAACUUUUUUAGUAACAUAUAAAUGAUGACUUCUUAAUUUAUCCAUGGUAUUAUAAUAUGCAUAUACAGUCCCCCAAAUUAUACCAAUGUGCAUAAAUAGACAUUCAUUUUAUUUUUAAAAUCAGUGACACGAGCUGUCAAUUCACAAUGAACAUGCUGCUGCUCAUUCCCAUGCAUUUAUACUCAAAGAAAUCUAGAGGUUUUU